CGUAGGGGCGAGCGUUGUCCGGAUUUAUUGGGCGUAAAGAGCUCGUAGGCGGCUCAGUAAGUCAGGUGUGAAACUCCAGGCUCAACCUGGAGACGCCACCUGAUACUGCUGUGGCUAGAGUCCGGUAGGGGAGCAUGGAAUUCCUGGUGAUAGCGGUGAAAUGCGCAGAUAUCAGGAGGAACACCAGUGGCGGAAGGCGGUGCUCUGGGCCGGAACUGACGCUGAGGAGCGAAAGCGUGGGGAGCAAACAGG
rnacentral:rRNA from 1 species